rnacentral:rRNA from 1 species
AUACGAAUGGUGCGAGCGUUGUUCGGAAUCACUGGGCAUAAAGGGUGCGUAGGUGGUUUGUUAAGUCUGGUGUGAAAGCCCUCGGCUCAACCGGGGAAUUGCAUCAGAUACUGGCAGACUUGAGGGUAUGAGGGGUGAGUGGAAUUCCAGGUGUAGCGGUGAAAUGCGUAGAUAUCUGGGAGAACGCCAACGGCGAAGGCAGCUCACUGGCAUACUUCUGACACUGAGGCACGAAAGCGUGGGGAGCAAACAGGAUUAGAUACCCUGGUAGUCCACGCCGUAAACGAUGGGUACUUUGUGGGGGGAGAAUCGACUCUCUCCCUGCCGGAGCAAAUGCGUUAAGUACCCCGCCUGGGGAGUAUGGUCGCAAGGCUAAA